rnacentral:rRNA from 1 species
UACGUAGGGGGCAAGCGUUGUCCGGAAUCAUUGGGCGUAAAGCGCGUGUAGGCGGCCCGGUAAGUCCGCUGUGAAAGUCGGGGGCUCAACCCUCGAAUGCCGGUGGAUACUGUCGGGCUAGAGUGCGGAAGAGGCGAGUGGAAUUCCUGGUGUAGCGGUGAAAUGCGCAGAUAUCAGGAGGAACACCAAUUGCGAAGGCAGCUCGCUGGGACGUGACUGACGCUGAGGAGCGAAAGCAUGGGGAGCGAACAGG